rnacentral:lncRNA from 1 species
AGAGGAAUAAACAAAUUUAUAUUAGAUGUAGAUAAUUUAAUCCAGCAAAUUGUAGUGGAAACAGUAGAGUCUUUGGUGUCAGACUGAAAUUUGAAAUCUGUUUCUGUGUCUUUCUAGUUUCAUGGCCUAAGGCAAGACAGCUAUUAUCUCUGGCCAUCACAUGCCUCAUCUGUGAAAUAGUCAUGAUAACAGCCUUCCCAAACUGAUGUGAGCAUCACAUGGAAUCACAUGGAAGUAGGUGCUCAGGAUAGCUGCUGGAAAUGUUAAAUUGCAGAAGGCAAAAAUCAAUUUUAUAAUAGGGGGAUUGUUCUUAUACUGACCUUAACAAAUGCCUCAAAAUUACUAAAACAAGAUUUACUAUUGGUGCACACCAGAAGGAGAAGCAGGUGUUAAUACUACUGGAACUUUGCCUUGCAGAUUAUUUACAUAAUCUGGCUCCUUCAUGCCUGUCUCAGAACAAACACAAUCUGCAUUCAGAACAGGACCGUUUACAAGUUCAAUGGAGUUAUUUUGGGAACUUGCAAACUAACGAGGAUCAUAAUGUGGAACUACA